rnacentral:rRNA from 1 species
UACGAGGGGGGCGAGCGUUGUUCGGAAUUAUUGGGCGUAAAGGGUGCGCAGGCGGUUUGGUAAGUCUUAUGUGAAAUCUACAGGCUCAACUUGUAGUCUGCAUGAGAAACUGCCGGGCUUGAGUAUGGGAGAGGUGAGUGGAAUUCCUGGUGUAGCGGUGAAAUGCGUAGAUAUCAGGAGGAACACCAAUGGCGAAGGCAGCUCGCUGGGACGGUACUGACGCUGAGGAGCGAAAGCGUGGGGAGCGAACAGG